rnacentral:pre_miRNA from 1 species
GGGGGUAGGUCGGAUCCUGGGCUGUGUCCCCGGCGCCCUGUGCUCCCGGGCCUGCGCUGUUGGAUUCAUGCUCCGGCCGGGCAGCCCCCU